GCGUUGUUAGCAGUCUAUUCCAGCCCUUAGAAAGCAACUUCAAUGUAUUUUCAUUGUGAUACCCAUUUGCCAAUAACUUUCAUUGUCAGUAAAAUCGAAUCAUCUGUAUUUUUUCAUGGUCAUAUCAUAUACCGUGUUACAUAAAACUGAUAACAUAUCAAUCAUAUUCAAUCAUCAUGUAAAUCUGACAUACAGCAUACAAUCAGAACACUACUUCAUUUAUUUCAAUAUUAGUUGCGAUGAACAGCGCUCAUUAAUGGGUAGACACUGCACCCGUGUGGCGACAAGUGGUACUUAAUGUAUAAUGCAACAAUGUCUAUAUUUACCAUUCCGCCCACAUACAAUAUUAACUGCAAUUCCCACUGGAUUAGAUGCUUCACGAACCACCUCCAGAACGGAUGCUUGUUUACAUUGUGUCUCUUUUAGGGAUAUUGUUCCGAAUACCCCUAUGUAUUUGUGAAAUUUUGUUCUGUCAGGCAGACUGUAUUGCGCCCUUACCUCUAGGUGGGGUUUUUUUCCCAUUUGGUAAACAUUGACGCGUACUCGCAGAAUGCUCAUCCCACCGGCUGUCAGUAUUACCGAUUACCGAGACGGUCGUCAUGUAGCCACCUAGCCGAUUACAUCCGUCCAGCAAAAUUAGUUCAUCAAUUCCCAUUAUGCCUGAUCCCCACACUACUGCUUGCAGCUAUAUUUUCUAAUUAUUGUUCUAAUUCUAUGACAGGUUAUCUGCAAGUUUCAGCAUGUCAAAUUCAAGACUUUUUAUUACCACCUUGAAUGAUGUUUUAAGACCUAAAACACGCAAUGGUGGGGGUUCGCAACAGACGCAAGCCAACUUCGGAAACGGACGUCUUCCAGCAAACUUUCCUUGAAUUUGCACCUACCCAUUGUCGCAGAUUAGCCAGCAAGCACAAAGAUAAUCGUUUAAAUAUGCAGCUAUCAAGAAAGAAGCCUCUCUACAUGUCCUUCCUGAAAAGCUCCCAGAGAAAAAUAGAAAAAUAAAUAGUCCUGCCCGACAAAUUUAAGACCUUGAGUUACAGUAUUUAAGACUAGCAUGUGACAUUUGUACCGAGUUUAAAACUUUAAGGCCUUAAAUUUAGAAACAUGAAUUUGAGACUUCUUAAGACUUUUUAAGGAUACACAGACACCCUGUAUGAUUAAUGGGAAUAAAGGGCGCCACUAGAGGGUGCCCCCAACACAUUUGUCACUCGCCUCGGCAAUCUCCUCGUUCGCUUAUAGCAACCGGCGGCCCUGGCUGCAGCUGGCGUUGCAUUGCAGACACGCAGGGCUUAUAAACAGGGGUGAGUCCUCGUGUGGAUCUUCAGGCUGGAGCGCUUUGUGAAGCUCUUCUUGCAUUGGUCACAGCUGUAGGGCUUCUCGCCGGUGUUGAGUCUUCAUGUGGAGCUGCAGGUAGCCUUUCCGUCCGAAGCUCUUCUUGCAUUGGUCACAGCUGUAGGGCUUCUCGCCGGUGUGAGUCUUCAUGUGGGUCUUCAGGUUGGAGCACCCUGUGAAGCACAUUGUGCAUUGGUCACACCUGUAGGGCUUCUCGCCGGUGUGAGUCUGGAUGUGCUUCCUCAGGGUGCUUUUCAGUCCAAAGCUCUUCUUGCAUUGGUCACACCUGUAGGGCUUCUCGCCGGUGUGAGUCCUUAUGUGGUUCUUCAAGUUGGAGCCAUCUGUGAAGCACUUCACGCAUUUGUCACACUUGUAGGGCUUCUCGCCGGUGUGAGUCCUUAUGUGGUUCUUCAAGCUGGCGCGCUCUGCGAAGCGCUUCACGCAUUGGUCACACUUGUAGGGCUUCUCGCCGGUGUGAGUCCUGAUGUGCACCUUCAGGUGGCCUUUCCGUCCAAAGCUCUUCUUGCAUUGGUCGCACCUGUAGGGCUUCUCCCCGGUGUGAGUACUCAUGUGGACGAUCAUAUCGGCAUCGUUUGGUAAAACCUUGCCACCCAAGACACCGGGCCGGCCCUUGCGGCCGCCCCGAUGCCCAGUCAGCUCCUCAAGGCGGACCAGCCGCACGCUGCAGUUCAGGCUCUUGGCCACGCUGUGGUCAGCGGACAGCGAGCUCAAGGCCUCCGGUUCCGACGCAGCAAAGAGGGUGUCAUGGCCGUCCACCGCCAGUGGGUCCUCUCCUUUUCCAUAGACGCUCAGGAUCCGCAGCUCCCCGUUGUGACUGGCCAUGUGGGAGGAGCCAGGGGCGUCCACACGCAGACUCUCUGAGUAGGCGCUGCGCUGCGUGCUGCAGCCUCUAAUGUCUUGGGCGUCUUCUUCAGAGAGGAAAACGAAUGCAGAAAGUAAUUGUUAUGAUACAUAACAUAGAUAGUUACAGACUUGCAUAGAUGC
ensembl:lncRNA